rnacentral:rRNA from 1 species
CUAUACAUGACUCUGCGCAUAUCAAUAAGCGGAGGAAAAGAAACUAACAAGGAUUCCCCUAGUAACGGCGAGUGAAGCGGGAAGAGCUCAAAUUUGAAAUCUUAAAGGGUUUCCCUUUACGAAUUGUAGUUUAAAGAAGUGUUUUCUGUUGAGGUUUUGGUAAAAGUUCUUUGGAAUAGGACAUCAUAGAGGGUGAGAAUCCCGUAUUUGACCAUUACUUUCAACUUUGUGAUACACUUUCAAAGAGUCGGAUUGUUUGGGAAUGCAGUCCAAAAUGGGUGGUAAAUUUCAUCUAAAGCUAAAUAUUGGCGAGAGACCGAUAGCGAACAAGUACCGUGAGGGAAAGAUGAAAAGAACUUUGAAAAGAGAGUUAAACAGUACGUGAAAUUGUCAAAAGGGAAGCGUUUGACACCAGUGUUGUUCUUCUGAAAAUCAAUUAAAGAACUGUUUAUGCUAAGUUGUUUAGACUUUAUCAGCUAACUGUUUAGUUUUGAGCUUUUCUUUAAUGCACUUUUCAGUUAACAAGUCAACAUCAAUUUCUUUUGCUGUAAAAAAGCUUGAGGAAGGUGGCUUGAGAUUCGUCUUAAGUGUUUAUAGCCUCUUGCCUAUGCAGUCGGAGAGAUUGAGGUCUGCAGCGUAGAUCCUUCGGGGCUAAAUGCAUUUGUGCUAAGUUAUAGCAUUUUAUAGACAACUUGUUGACUAUGAUUUGUCUUGUAGCUUACUCGCUUAUGUUAUUUUACCUACGCUUAGGAUGUUGACAGCAGUAUAGACUGU